UAAUACGAGGGGUGCGAGCGUUGCUCGGAAUUAUUGGGCGUAAAGGGUAGGUAGGUGGUUUCAUUUGUCUGGGGUGAAAGCCUUGGGCUUAACUCAAGAAGUGCCCCGGAAACGGUGAAACUCGAGUACUGGAGAGGGUCGUGGAAUUCCCGGUGUAGCGGUGAAAUGCGUAGAGAUCGGGAGGAACACCAGAGGCGAAGGCGGCGACCUGGACAGUUACUGACACUCAACUACGAAAGCGUGGGGAGCAAACAGGAUUAGAUACCCUGGUAGUCCACGCUGUAAACGAUGGGUACUAGGCUUGGCGGGUCUUGACCCCUGCUGAGCCGGCGCUAACGCAAUAAGUACCCCGCCUGGGAAGUACGGUCGCAAGACUA
rnacentral:rRNA from 1 species